AAUCCUCCGCGUCAGAUGGCUCGGAUUUGCUCCCUGUGCGCUGGGUGCAGUCCGAGCAGGAGCGCACAGCACGUUUUUACCAGCUGUUGAGAGCGGAUCUUUCACCUCCACAGCACAGCAGGUGUCCAUGCAGUGUAGACCCAGACUGAAGAGUCUGGAGCAGGCAUGUCACAGAGGUUACACACUCCAGCCAUCAUACAUUUCAAGUCUUUCGAUCAACAGUGUGUUAAACAGUGAGGCGAGGCUCACAGUAGCUGGAGUAGGAUUUUUCAUGUUCUCAUAAACUGCCUGUGAUCUCUUAAUAUUUCCACAAAUCAAUCAUAGACUGAUACAGUCAGUGUCACUUUAUUUGAUGGAUGGUUCUCUAUGAAAGUGCUCCUGUAUGUGCUUAACAUUAAAGCCUGUGGUCACUUGUC